UGGACUUUCCCGUCUGUCACUGCAGCUGGAGGUGACUUCCUGCUCCGUCAGCUGACUGUGAGUCACUCCACGGCUGCACGUUAGUUAGAGAGGCCGCUUCAAUUCUCCAGCUAGUUGGGAAAGAGAAGGAUAGGCGUGAGCCAUGGGACCUCCUCCUCAGAUCUCAAACCUCUGGGAUCCCCUUUUCCCAUGUUCAUUUAAAACUUCCACCGUGAUCAGUUCUGCUCUUCAGCUUCUGGUUCUGUGGUGAUGCCUCAAAAGACAGGAAAACCAGUUUCCUACUUUCCAGAAUGAAAAUGACAUUAAAAAAAUCCACCUCUGCAGCGAAUGAAUCAUUUUCGGGCAACCCCUUUCUCCAAGGGGGUCCUUCCUUUGAGACACAUUUCGGGGACGUCUUCAGUGAGGAUAAGAGAGCAGUGACACUAACCUAACCUCAUCUGAUGCUUCAGGAAAAAGCCAACAAAAUAUUAUUGUGGUGUAAUAAUGUAAUAAUAAAUUAAUAUGUAAUAACUAAAGUAAGUUAAAA
rnacentral:lncRNA from 12 species